AUUGAACGCUGGCGGCAGGCUUAACACAUGCAAGUCGAGCGGGGAAAGGUAGCUUGCUACCUGACCUAGCGGCGGACGGGUGAGUAAUGCUUAGGAAUCUGCCUAUUAGUGGGGGACAACAUUCCGAAAGGAAUGCUAAUACCGCAUACGCCCUACGGGGGGAAAAGCAGGGGAUCUUCGGACCUCGCGCUAAUAGAUGAGCCUAAGUCAGAUUAGCUAGUUGGUGGGGUAAAGGCCUACCAAGGCGACGAUCUGUAGCGGGUCUGAGAGGAUGAUCCGCCACACUGGGACUGAGACACGGCCCAGACUCCUACGGGAGGCAGCAGUGGGGAAUAUUGGACAAUGGGCGAAAGACCUGAUCCAGCCAUGCCGCGUGUGUGAAGAAGGCCUUUUGGUUGUAAAGCACUUUAAGCGAGGAGGAGGCUACUUAGAUUAAUACUCUAGGAUAGUGGACGUUACUCGCAGAAUAAGCACCGGCUAACUCUGUG
rnacentral:rRNA from 1 species